CCUACGGGUGGCAGCAGUGAGGAAUAUUGGUCAAUGGGCGCUAGCCUGAACCAGCCAAGCAGCGUGCAGGAUGACUGCCCUAUGGGUUGUAAACUUCUUUUAUAUGGGAAUAAAGUGCAGUAUGCAUACUGCUCUGCAUGUACCUUAUGAAUAAGGAUCGGCUAACUCCGUGCCAGCAGCCGCGGUAAUACGGAGGAUCCGAGCGUUAUCCGGAUUUAUUGGGUUUAAAGGGGGCGUAGGCGGGUUGUUAAGUUAGUGGUGAAAGUUUGAGGCUCAACUGUGAAAUUGCAGUUGAUACUGGCAGCCUUGAGAGCAGUAGAGGUAGGCGGAAUGCGUGGUGUAGCGGUGAAAUGCUUAGAGAUCACGAAGAACUCCGAUUGCGAAGGCAGCCUGCUAGACUGUAACUGACGCUGAUGCUCGAAAGUGUGGGUAUCAAACAGGAUUAGAUACCCUGGUAGUC
rnacentral:rRNA from 1 species